CAGUCGCCGCGGUAAUACGUAGGUCCCGAGCGUUGUCCGGAUUUAUUGGGCGUAAAGCGAGCGCAGGCGGUUAGAUAAGUCUGAAGUUAAAGGCUGUGGCUUAACCAUAGUACGCUUUGGAAACUGUUUAACUUGAGUGCAAGAGGGGAGAGUGGAAUUCCAUGUGUAGCGGUGAAAUGCGUAGAUAUAUGGAGGAACACCGGUGGCGAAAGCGGCUCUCUGGCUUGUAACUGACGCUGAGGCUCGAAAGCGUGGGGCGCAAACAGGAUUAGAUACCCGCGUAGUCCCUGUCUCUUAUACC
rnacentral:rRNA from 1 species